AGAGUUUGAUCCUGGCUCAGGACGAACGCUGGCGGCGUGCCUAAUACAUGCAAGUAGAACGCUGAGGUUUGGUGUUUACACUAGACUGAUGAGUUGCGAACGGGUGAGUAACGCGUAGGUAACCUGCCUCAUAGCGGGGGAUAACUAUUGGAAACGAUAGCUAAUACCGCAUAAGAGUAAUUAACACAUGUUAGUUAUUUAAAAGGAGCAAUUGCUUCACUGUGAGAUGGACCUGCGUUGUAUUAGCUAGUUGGUGAGGUAAAGGCUCACCAAGGCGAUGAUACAUAGCCGACCUGAGAGGGUGAUCGGCCACACUGGGACUGAGACACGGCCCAGACUCCUACGGGAGGCAGCAGUAGGGAAUCUUCGGCAAUGGACGGAAGUCUGACCGAGCAACGCCGCGUGAGUGAAGAAGGUUUUCGGAUCGUAAAGCUCUGUUGUUAGAGAAGAACGUUGGUAGGAGUGGAAAAUCUACCAAGUGACGGUAACUAACCAGAAAGGGACGGCUAACUACGUGCCAGCAGCCGCGGUAAUACGUAGGUCCCGAGCGUUGUCCGGAUUUAUUGGGCGUAAAGCGAGCGCAGGCGGUUCUUUAAGUCUGAAGUUAAAGGCAGUGGCUUAACCAUUGUACGCUUUGGAAACUGGAGGACUUGAGUGCAGAAGGGGAGAGUGGAAUUCCAUGUGUAGCGGUGAAAUGCGUAGAUAUAUGGAGGAACACCGGUGGCGAAAGCGGCUCUCUGGUCUGUAACUGACGCUGAGGCUCGAAAGCGUGGGGAGCAAACAGGAUUUUAGAUACCCUGGUAGUCCACGCCGUAAACGAUGAGUGCUAGGUGUUAGGCCCUUUCCGGGGCUUAGUGCCGCAGCUAACGCAUUAAGCACUCCGCCUGGGGAGUACGACCGCAAGGUUGAAACUCAAAGGAAUUGACGGGGGCCCGCACAAGCGGUGGAGCAUGUGGUUUAAUUCGAAGCAACGCGAAGAACCUUACCAGGUCUUGACAUCCUUCUGACCGGCCUAGAGAUAGGCUUUCUCUUCGGAGCAGAAGUGACAGGUGGUGCAUGGUUGUCGUCAGCUCGUGUCGUGAGAUGUUGGGUUAAGUCCCGCAACGAGCGCAACCCCUAUUGUUAGUUGCCAUCAUUAAGUUGGGCACUCUAGCGAGACUGCCGGUAAUAAACCGGAGGAAGGUGGGGAUGACGUCAAAUCAUCAUGCCCCUUAUGACCUGGGCUACACACGUGCUACAAUGGUUGGUACAACGAGUCGCAAGCCGGUGACGGCAAGCUAAUCUCUUAAAGCCAAUCUCAGUUCGGAUUGUAGGCUGCAACUCGCCUACAUGAAGUCGGAAUCGCUAGUAAUCGCGGAUCAGCACGCCGCGGUGAAUACGUUCCCGGGCCUUGUACACACCGCCCGUCACACCACGAGAGUUUGUAACACCCGAAGUCGGUGAGGUAACCUUUUAGGAGCCAGCCGCCUAAGGUGGGAUAGAUGAUUGGGGUGAAGUCGUAACAAGGUAGCCGUAUCGGAAGGUGCGGCUG
rnacentral:rRNA from 1 species